rnacentral:rRNA from 1 species
UACGUAGGGUGCAAGCGUUGUCCGGAGUUAUUGGGCGUAAAGAGCUCGUAGGCGGUUUGUCGCGUCUGCUGUGAAAACUGGAGGCUCAACCCCAGACCUGCAUUCGAUACGGGCGAACUAGAGUGUGGUAGGGGAGACUGGAAUUCCUGGUGUAGCGGUGGAAUGCGCAGAUAUCAGGAGGAACACCAAUGGCGAAGGCAGGUCUCUGGGCCAUUACUGACACUGAUGAGCGAAAGCGUGGGGAGCGAACAGG